rnacentral:rRNA from 1 species
GACAGAGGGUGCAAACGUUGUUCGGAUUUACUGGGCGUAAAGCGCGUGUAGGCGGCUUUGCAAGUCGGAUGUGAAAGCCCACGGCUCAACCGUGGAAGUGCAUCCGAAACUGCAUGGCUGGAGUCUCGGAGAGGAAGGUGGAAUGCUUGGUGUAGAGGUGAAAUUCGUAGAUAUCAGGAGGAACACCGGUGGCGAAGGCGGCUUUCUGGACGACAACUGACGCUGAGACGCGAAAGCGUGGGGAGCAAACAGG